rnacentral:rRNA from 1 species
GUACGGAAGGCAGCAGUGGGGAAUAUUGCACAAUGGGCGAAAGCCUGAUGCAGCAACGCCGCGUGAGCGAUGAAGGCCUUCGGGUUGUAAAGCUCUGUCUUUGGGGACGAAAAAAUGACGGUACCCAAGGAGGAAGCCACGGCUAACUACGUGCCAGCAGCCGCGGUAAUACGUAGGUGGCAAGCGUUGUCCGGAAUUACUGGGCGUAAAGAAUGCGUAGGCGGUUUUUUAAGUGGGAUGUGAAAUCCCUGGGCUCAACCCAGGAACUGCAUUCCAAACUGGAGAACUAGAGUGCGGGAGAGGAAAUUGGUAUUCCCAGUGUAGCGGUGAAAUGCGUAGAGAUUGGGAGGAACACCAGUAGCGAAGGCGAAUUUCUGGAACGUAACUGACGCUGAGGCAUGAAACCGUGGGGAGCAAACAGGAUUAGAUACCCUGGUAGUCCG